GGGACAGAUUGCAAUUUACUGGGGGGAGGGUCGUUUUUUUUAAUGUAUUGGGCACAGGAGUUUUUUUUUUUUUUCCUUGUUUACAAUCGCUCUUUUGUAGGGUUUACCAUAUUUCUCCCAUCCUAGCCACAUUUUUGAAUCUGCUUACAUGCGCCUCCCCUAUAUCAAGGUGUUUUGGUACUUCCCUUAUGCACUAUGCUUUACCAUGUGCUAACUUUUUUUACCACAGUAAAGGUCAAUAUAGUCUACUAGUCCAUCCUGCCCUCUUUACACCAUUCAUAGUGGCAAUUGUGGUUGGUGGAUUGUUUGUCCAUAUCUGCAAUAGGCUGCCUAGCAGUCAUACUACACAACAUUCAAAACUGCAUAAUUUUUAAAAUAUUAAUCGACAAGAACCAAUAGGAAUAACUGCUAGGCAGCGGAGAGGCCAGGUUCACCAUUGUGCAUGAAAGAACAGUGAAGACAGACGCACAGCUCAAAUCUAGACUAGCCUACAGUACCACAAUGCAAUGAAGAAUUGCAUUAUUGCUUUCAAGUGAGUACAACAUUCUAUCCUACUCUAGGCUCCAGUGAAAAUGUCAUUUGAAUAACGGCGCAAAGGCCCUGUGAUUUGAAUAUUUCAUUCAAUUUGGAACAGUCGUUGGUCUACUCACAACAUGUUUAUAAGGACUAGAAAGGCACAGUAGCAGACCAGUGACUAUUUUUUACUUCUGAUACCGAAUGUUCUGUCUUGCAGAUCACUCUCCCAAGUCGUCCAAAAAUAAUGUGGCCACAUAUGCUCCCGGCAGGCCCAGUUAAUCAGGAAAGCUUAACACCUGCUCUGCCUCCUCUCCAAUCAAAGCGGCUAUUCGUAACGCUUCAUCAGCCUACAUAUUUAACACUUCACUUUAAUGUAUUACCUUUUUUAUAUGUGGCAAAAACUCAACCAAUCACAAUGUUUGAAUCCGAUAAGGCUACUUCAAAAGUCUCCUGUAGCCAUGAACCUGUUCAUCCAAAAUGUAAUUCCGG
ensembl:lncRNA